rnacentral:rRNA from 1 species
GACGUAGGGCGCAAGCGUUGUCCGGAUUUAUUGGGCGUAAAGAGCUCGUAGGCGGCUUGUCGCGUCGACUGUGAAAACCCGCGGCUUAACUGUGGGACUGCAGUCGAUACGGGCUAGCUAGAGUUCGGUAGGGGAGACUGGAAUCCCUGGUGUAGCGGUGAAAUGCGCAGAUAUCAGGAGGAACACCGGUGGCGAAGGCGGGUCUCUGGGCCACUACUGACGCUGAGAAGCGAAAGCGUGGGGAGCGAACAGG